AACGAACGCUGGCGGCAGGCCUAACACAUGCAAGUCGAGCGGGACCUUCGGGUCUAGCGGCGGACGGGUUAGUAACGCGUGGGAACGUGCCCAAAGGUACGGAAUAGCCUCGGGAAACUGAGAGUAAUACCGUAUGUGCCCUCGGGGAAAGAUUUAUCGCCUUUGGAUCGGCCCGCGUUGGAUUAGGUAGUUGGUGGGGUAAUGGCCUACCAAGCCGACGAUCCAUAGCUGGUUUGAGAGGAUGAUCAGCAACACUGGGACUGAGACACGGCCCAGACUCCUACGGGAGGCAGCAGUGGGGAAUCUUAGACAAUGGGGGAAACCCUGAUCUAGCCAUGCCGCGUGAGCGAUGAAGGCCUUAGGGUUGUAAAGCUCUUUCAGAUGGGAAGAUAAUGACGGUACCAUCAGAAGAAGCCCCGGCUAACUCCGUG
rnacentral:rRNA from 1 species